GGAGGGGUGGCCGAGUGGUUGAAGGCGCUCGUCUCGAAAACGAGUAUGCGGCGAAACCGUAUCGAGGGUUCGAAUCCCUCCCCCUCCG
rnacentral:tRNA from 1 species